AACGCACAUUGCGCCCGCCAGUACUCUGGCGGGCAUGCCUGUCCGAGCGUCAUUUCAACCCUCGAGCCCGUCUCGGUGUUGGGGGCCCCACGGCCGCGAGGCCGCCCCCGAAAUGCAUUGGCGACCCCGCCGCGGCCUCCCCUGCGCAGUAGCUCCCAGAGAACCUCGCACCGGAAACGCGGAGGCGGUCACGCCGUAAAACAACUCUCCUCCUGGAAGUUGACCUCGGAUCAGGUAGGGAUACCCGCUGAACUUAA
rnacentral:misc_RNA from 1 species